UAUAGAUGUCUGUGGAAACAUGCAGAAGAACUGUGCUGUCUCAACAGUCGGUUGGAACACAGAUGGCUCAAGUCAUCACCACCCAAACAUAACAACUUUAUACAAUUUGAAUCCAACUCAGCCACUAUUUGAUAAGAAAAUAUAUUUCUCUCCAGUUUGUGAAACUAUCUCUACUGGCUAUGCAGAUGAAAAAAGCCAGAUUCCGGAGACGAGCAAGGAUUUCUAUUAUUGAACUUCAGUUCAAAGAUGAGACUUCCUUUAUUCCAGCCCUGCUCACGAUUUUUGACUGAAUUCGAAGGGUCCAGAGAUAUCACCAUGCUUUUCUGUCUCUGCCACUAAAGUGUACUGAGUCAAGCGGGUGCCUGUUCUCCCUGAUUGUACACGUUGUUCCUUGACACCUUAGGCCUACAGCAGGAGUUUGCAGAUGUGUUAGGUGAAUCUCCAGGAUAGUA